ACAGAGACUGCAAGCGUUACUCGGAUUCACUGGGCGUAAAGGGAGCGCAGGCGGACUCAUGUGUCGGACGUGAAAUACCGGGGCUUAACCCCGGUGCUGCGUUCGAAACUAUGAGUCUAGAGACUUGGAGGGGUAAGCGGAAUUCUUGGUGGAGCAGUGAAAUGCGUAGAUAUCAAGAGGAACACCAACGGCGAAGGCAGCUUACUGGACAAGAUCUGACGCUCAGGCUCGAAAGCGUGGGGAGCAAAAGGG
rnacentral:rRNA from 1 species